CGGCGAACGGGUGAGUAAUACGUGAGUGACCUACCUUUGACUCUGGGAUAAGCCUGGGAAACUGGGUCUAAUACCGGAUACGACCAAUCUCCGCAUGGGGUGUUGGUGGAAAGCGUUAUGGAGUGGUUUUAGAUGGGCUCACGGCCUAUCAGCUUGUUGGUGAGGUAAUGGCUUACCAAGGCGACGACGGGUAGCCGGCCUGAGAGGGUGACCGGCCACACUGGGACUGAGACACGGCCCAG
rnacentral:rRNA from 1 species